rnacentral:rRNA from 1 species
GACGAACGCUGGCGGCGUGCUUAACACAUGCAAGUCGAACGGCAACGCCCUGCUUUUGUGGUGUUCUCGAGUGGCGAACGGGUGCGUAUCACGUGUAUAACCUGCCCUUGUCUUUGGUAUAACUUCGGGAAACUGGGGCUACUCCCGUAUCGCAGCUCCUGCUGCAUGGUGGGCGUUGGAACUUUUCGGCGGUUGCGGAUGGACUGGCGGCUUAUCAGCUUGUUGGUUGGGUAGUGGCUUACCCAGGCUUUGACGGGUAGCCGGCCUGAGAGGGUGACCGGCAACAUGGGGACUGAGAGACGGACCAGACGCGUACGGGAGGCAGCGGGGGGGAAUAUGGAACAAUGGGCGGAAGCCGGAGGCAGAAACGCCGCGUGCGGGAUGACGGCCUUUGGGGUGUAAACAGCUGUAGCCUGUGACGAAGCGGGAGUGACGGUAAUGGGUAAAGAAGCACCGGCUAACUACGUG